UACGGAGGGGGCUAGCGUUGUUCGGAAUUACUGGGCGUAAAGCGCGCGUAGGCGGACCUGCAAGUCGGGGGUGAAAGCCCGAGGCUCAACCUCGGAACUGCCUUCGAUACUGCGGGUCUCGAGUCCGGGAGAGGUGAGUGGAAUUCCUAGUGUAGAGGUGAAAUUCGUAGAUAUUAGGAAGAACACCAGUGGCGAAGGCGGCUGCACUGGCCCGGUACUGACGCUGAGGCGCGAAAGCGUGGGGAGCAAACAGG
rnacentral:rRNA from 1 species